AUCUGUUCAGUUGAUUUUAAAAAAUUAAUAACCAGAAAAGCUAGCUUUUACAGUCUUAUUCUAAAUCAGAUGAUGCAGAGCAUAAUAAUUUAAAUAUCUAAAAUCACGGAGGGAAAGGGAGCAUCAAAUUUGUUAGCAAGUGCAUUUCCAUAUUAAUUUGCUUGGUCGGAAUAUAAUUUGGACCUUAUGUAUAUAAUCUCGAAUCUAGAAAACGGUUGCUAUUUGUAAGCUCCGGGCAGUUAUUUUCCUUAUCAUUUAAGAUCUUCACAACUUAAAAAAAAUGAAUUCCCCGACUGUGCUCUUCCCUAUUUUUCGGGCAAAAUAGUAACAUGUAAUAAUAAAUAUAUUAUUGAUAUAUUCAAUCAAUAUAUAUUAAUUCAAUAACUAAUCAAUUGUUAAAAAAUUAUUGCUGAAGCCGAGGACCAAAAUAUUUUACAUCUCUCUCUCUCUCUUUCUAUCUCUCCUAUGUUACAAGUUUGAGACUACACCGCUGGCUUUUAUUUACAAUUUGAACUUUUACAUAGACUGAAAAAGAACGCUCCAAUUCUUGCUGAUUAUCAGCAUAAUUAUAAUGUAUGUGUUGCAUUCAAUGUGCACUUCCUUUUUUUGAUUCGUGGAGAAUAAAUAUGAAUUAAUGACUACUACUGUCUAGUAUUAACGGUAUAUAAUUAUAUAAAUGAUUACUUCAUUAUCUCCCCGAUCAUUUGGCUUUAGAGUGUAAUGCGGGAAACUUGAGAUGAAUCCAUUAUGACGUCAUAAACGAAUGUGCACAAAACGGCCAAACAAGUUGUCUAAAUUGCGUACAGAAUUUGAUGACGAAAGCAAACCCGCGACCCACCUUAAAUUGAAGUGCAGGUACUCAAGUUGUAGCCUCAUUAUUAUCUCUCGGUGACUACCACCUAUUAUUCAAUCAACAGGAUUUGGCAGGCCUUAAGUCACCCCCCCCCCC
rnacentral:sRNA from 1 species